CUCCCUCCCUCUCUCUCUCGUGCAUGAUGACGGAAACAAAAUAACAUUUGCCCUCUUUGAUUGUAAUUAUUAUAACAACUAUGUGAUGGAAUUACCAGCACCUUCCCCCCCAAUUUGAGCAUGAAAAUAUCAAGAUUUUCCAAUCAAAAACCGUAAUUCGUGGUUCACUGAAUCAGUCGAAUACUGCGUGGCACUAAAGUCCUGCUUUCAGAUCACAAGUCAUCUUCGGUACAGUUCGGGUGUUUAUUUUUUAUGGAGACUUUAAUCGACAGCUUGUUUCGAAUCAAUCGAUAAGGUAUGCUCUACUAAAAUCCAUUUCGUUUCCCUGUCAUUGAUGUGAUGCAGUGGUGUGCUGUUUGGAUCUCCUUCUUGCUCUUUUCAACAUACCCGAUCUCAUGAUUCUCAUCUCCAGAUCUCUCAGUUAAUCCGAGAAGAAAACCAAACAUAAAACAUACUCAUUAGCCGACGCUCUUAACCAAAUUAAAGUGAAGUAUCAAGAACACACAGCUACCAUCUUAAACCUUAUCUGAUUAAUCAAUUGGAAUUCUUAGAAAUUUAAAUCAUUGGAGUAUACGUGCCAUGCCGUCAUUUGUAAGUGAAAGUGAUUGUCGUUUGAUACAGGAUUUGCAUUAUUGAAGGCAUCGUUUUUUCUUCUUCCUUUUUUUAUAAAAACAAAAAAAAAACAAAAUACUUGAGGCAUGUGCUUGAAAGGGAGGCGCACAUGGAUUGUCCACCUGGGAUAUGGAAGAGAAAUGGGUUUGAACUACCGAACUCAUGUUUGUCUGGAAGGAGACUGCUCGCAAGAGAUGGAUCCAGUGGUCGGAGGGCCCAUGGCCCGCAAAGUAUUAAAACACUUCCCUCGGUCCCUUUCUUCUAAACUUUCUCAAUUCAAUCCUCACAAUUAAGGCGUUUCGUUUCCGUUUC